GCCAUGGUGACUCAGAGUUGAGGCCAAUGGCGGCUCCACCAUCCUGUGGCUAUGAUUCCUGAACUUGUGGUCUCCUCAGUUGAUGAGGUGAAGAAAGAAAGCCUGGAGAAUUAUGCACGAGCUUCUCACUGUCUCAGCCCACAAGUAACACACCUCUUUCCCUCACAGCCCACACUGGCUGGAACCAAUCACAUAGCCCUGCCUAACUGCAAGGGAGGCCAGAAAGUGCAACACUUUCUCAUGGUCACGGGUGAGCACGAAACAUCUCUCCAAAUAUGGGUUGGGAAGAUUAAGAGACUAGUCCAGAAGAAAACAGUCUCCAGGGAGAAAUAUAUCUGGGAAUAGGAAUCGAGAAAGCAACCAAGAGAGCAGAACUGAGUGGAUGAGAGGAACUGUCAGACCACAUCUGCAGCUCUGAUUAGUCAAAUCCGAAAUGUGCCUGUUGAUCUACUAUUCCGUGGAAAUACUGGAAUCACCAGCUCAAUAAUAAGAGGAAAGCGCUGGAUCCAGGGCAAAAAUGAAGACAUAAGGGACCUUAGGUGACAAGGAAGAAGCUCCCAGGCAGCAUGUGGGAUGGACCCAAGGAGAACGUCAGAGAGAAAGAGUUCAGUCUGGUGUCUCCUGAAGCAGGUUAAAAUUAAGCUCGGCAGGCUCGACGUAAAUGUGCAGACAAAGCAAAGCAGGAAGCCUCCCACACUAAAAAGGGAAGAUAAGAAUCACAGAAGCUGGGAUGGUUUUUAUUGAAGGGCAUUUCAAAGCAAAUACAGACAUCUACAGCAUAUUUGUAAAUCCUCCGUAUGUGUAUGGAAACACACACCUUCACACAUCAAAACUGGAUUUGUUCCUGAGUAACAAAACGUCCUAAGAACAAAAUGAAAGAAAACCAAAUAGCAGAAAAAUACUUCCAAUGUAUAUACCACAAAGGAUUAUUUAUCAACUCAACACACCAAGAGUUAAGAAAAUAAUGCAACAGGAACAAAGGGCAAAGGAUAUGUACUGGGAAGACCACAGAGAAAGAAAAUGCAAAUGGCUAAUAAUAUAAAAUAUUUCCUAGGUUCAAUAGUAAUCAGGGAAAGACAAAAUUACACUUUUGACCUCUUAGACUGGCAGUGACAAAGAUUAUUUGAGUGACCAAGCUUUAGUCAGGCUCCUGGAUCUUCUAGGCCCAUCUGGGCACUUCCUCGUAAAAUACAGUUUUAACAAAAGCCCUGCUAAAUUGGUUUACCGAGAACUCCCACCCUCAAUCGAGUUCCUUAGCCCUUCACCUUUCCUCAGGUGAGGGCUGAUCAUCCUGUCCUGUCUUCAGCAAGACUGCUCUAACGCUGACGUUUCCUUUUAGUAAUUUUCCAUCCACUGACACCCACUUGUAAUUUAUAGCCAAGGAGCAAGAUACACUGCUCCUUGGCUAUAAGUUAUUUUCCCUGUUACAUUCAGAGUUGAGCCCAAUCCCACUCCCCGACUACAAAAUCGAUAGCAGUGGUCCCUAUACCUAUUGCAAUGGUCCUAAAUAAAACCUGCCUUACCGUGCUUGAACAAGUGUCAUCGAAUAAUUUUUUAACAGCAAAUUG
rnacentral:lncRNA from 1 species